rnacentral:rRNA from 1 species
AGAGUUUGAUCCUGGCUCAGGACGAACGCUGGCGGCGUGCCUAAUACAUGCAAGUCGAGCGGACCGGAUCGGGGCUUGCCUUGAUUCGGUCAGCGGCGGACGGGUGAGUAACACGUGGGCAACCUGCCCGCAAGACCGGGAUAACUCCGGGAAACCGGAGCUAAUACCGGAUAACACCGAAGACCGCAUGGUCUUCGGUUGAAAGGCGGCCUUUGGGCUGUCACUUGCGGAUGGGCCCGCGGCGCAUUAGCUAGUUGGUGAGGUAACGGCUCACCAAGGCGACGAUGCGUAGCCGGCCUGAGAGGGUGACCGGCCACACUGGGACUGAGACACGGCCCAGACUCCUACGGGAGGCAGCAGUAGGGAAUCUUCCGCAAUGGGCGAAAGCCUGACGGAGCGACGCCGCGUGAGCGAAGAAGGCCUUCGGGUCGUAAAGCUCUGUUGUGAGGGACGAAGGAGCGCCGUUCGAAGAGGGCGGCGCGGUGACGGUACCUCACGAGAAAGCCCCGGCUAACUACGUGCCAGCAGCCGCGGU